rnacentral:lncRNA from 1 species
GAAGAUAUAGCUUGCAGAAAUUCCUGGUCGCUCGUUCAGGGUACGUAGCUUCAGUCUUGAAAGUAAAAAAGAAUAAAAGAAAAUCGUUAAGGUCAUUCCAAAACUAGCCUCAAUCCUUGCUAAAAUAAAUACAUAAAUCAAAAGAAAUGACAAGUUCACUUGGCAAUAACAUUUUUUCUGCAAUAAAUUUAGCAGUUGCCAAUCAAAAUGGUUUAUAAGCGGGAUUCCCGGUGCUCUCUCAUUUCAAAGUUCUCGGUUUCGAAUUAAAAUUCACCUUUAAAAUAUAAUACAUAGAAAAAUCAAGAGAAAUCUCUAAAAAAAAAAAAAAAAAAAGUGUUGGUCCGACAUGCUCAACUGGGACAAACCGAGCAAUUUCUGACAUUUGUUAUGAGCGCGUUCAAACUUGUAGUAAUACUUUGAGCUAGUUAAAAUUCCGAUGGCAGAAGUGGAAUUCCGAUAUCGAUAUGCAUUUGCUUACGGAAAAAACGGAAAAGACAUUGGUCAUCCCCAGGUCAAUCGAUGUGAUUAGCGAAGGAGAAUUUUUAUCACCACGAGCACGAGGGUCCAAUCUAAUCAUUUUUCAGAGGAGCGAAUUCAAUUUAUUAGAAAGAAGCCAAAUUUUCCCAAAAGGAAAAGGGAAAUCGGCUCUGAGUCACGUGAGGCUCAGUAAAGGAGCUCUCGUCUCUUCCUAAGCUACCACAGUUGAAUUAAGGACUUGCAUUGCAUAAUGCAUAGUGGUAGUUGCCACUUGCCAGUGGGUAUGGAGUAUGGACUGUGGAGAAGCAAAUGGCUACUCGGAACAUCGGCCGAAAAGUCAAAAAGCCACGAGGAAGGUUUCAGGAAAUUUAAAGUCCACAGGGUUCAACCUAGUGUCGGAUGCAGCCUAAGAUUUGGAAAUUGCUGUUGGAGUGAAACAAAGACCAUCUCCCCAAACCCAAUGCCCCCCCAAUUUCCCUUUCCUUCCUGGGGCUUUCUGUAUUGUCUCGCACUUUUUCACUUGCUAACCAAGAGGGCUCCGUGUCUUCUAGUGACUUUUGUAAUUCCAGGGCAGGGCAGAUCUGUUGUUUAGGCUACAUGUGAACUCUUUGACCGCUAUUCCUCUCAACUCAAAUGGAUGGUUUGCAUGUGCUUUUUCCUUCUGCCCACAAUAGCACCCAUCUGAUUAACUGCUCACAAGGGGAAAAAGAAGGGAAAGGAAAAAAAAAGGAACAAUUUGGAUGAACUGAAUGUCCCUUUCUCUUCAGAACACCAAUAUCUAGAUCAGUGCAAGUAACCAUUAGUAUGAAGAAAAGAGAAAAGCUGUAGAAAUUAAAACCAUUAGUACAAAACAACUGCAUGAAUGGAGAGUUUUUUUUUUUCCCUUUCCAACUCUUAGAUGAUAAAAGAGACGCUGGUGUCUACUACAAAAAGAAAUAUUGAGCAAAAUAGUUUUUACCAUCAAAGGUUCAUUGUUGUGACGUGACGAGACGAGAUCUUGACCAUAAACCUUGGGAACUCCUUCAGGGGUUUCCAACCUUAGGGCCCUAUUCCCUCCCAUAGGAAUGAGUUUACUUUUUAUUAUUGGUGUUGCAAACCAAGUAGUCUUAGUAGUAGCAUGCUAGAGAGAGACGCUUUCCACUAGCCUCUAGGUGCCUUGAAUCGCUAUACUGAGUCAAAACGCAAAAAGGUUCCCAUAUCCAGUGAAAAGUUAGAAUCAGACUGCCAAUUACUACUACUAAUUCCCUGGUCUGAAAUCGAUUUACUUGAGGUUGAAGGCUAGGCCCCGCCUCUGUAAUUGUAGGUUGCAUGCUUUUUGGCGUAUUAGCCAUCUCCCCACACCCCUAAUUCUCUCUCCCUCUCUCUUGCUCUCUUGCUCUCCGUGUCUCAGCUCUCAGGCCUAUAUAUACACACACACAGCUGCACACGAUUACAACUAGCUUUACAACGAAGCUGGCCUAAACAAAUUUUACAGCUCUCUUUGAAGUGUUCUGAACUUCUGGAGGGCAUCAAUGGCUGUCCUAAUGGUAGUUCUUGGCGUGGUUUUUGGGCUCUGCAUCUUGAGCACUGCUUUAUUGAAGUGGAAUGAAGUCAAGUACAGGAAGAAAGGUUUGCCUCCCGGAACUAUGGGUUGGCCAGUAUUUGGGGAGACCACUGAGUUUCUCAAACAAGGUCCAGGCUUCAUGAAGAACCAGAGAUCAAGGUAAUGGUAUCUUUCUUAGUAAUUCUCCUUGUAUAUUGUACAGAUUUUGACAUUCUAAUGGUCUCUUGCCUAGUUGUAACAUAUAGAUUGUGCCUUGCUACCUUUAUUUGACACAAAGUAUGAUGCUUGCAUGAUACUUAGAAGCUGUGCAGCACAAAAGUAACUUCUACCACAUGAAAAUUGCAAUAUGUAUAUGUGCAUGAAAAGCGUUAAAUAGGAUGCUUGCAAUAUCUAUGUGCAUAAAAGUCGACGGGCAUAAUUGAUUAUGUUUACAAGAAGGUGCUGCUGGAUGGAUAUCUGCUAGUUUCGGAUAUAACAGUAAAACAAGUCAUAUAGCAGCCACUCUCCGGCUUUAUGGUUCCUCCAACUGUUGAAAACUUUCUUGUUUUUGUUACGAUAACAGGUAUGGAAGUUUUUUCAAAUCCCACAUACUGGGCUGUCCAACCAUUGUUUCAAUGGAUCCAGAGCUAAAUAGAUAUAUCCUGAUGAAUGAAGCGAAAGGGCUGGUCCCUGGCUAUCCCCAGUCCAUGCUAGACAUCUUGGGGAAAAGCAACAUUGCAGCUGUUCAUGGUUCAGCUCACAAGCACAUGAGAGGAGCAUUGCUUUCUCUUAUCAGUCCCACGGUGAUCAGAGAACACCUUUUGCCGACAAUUGAUGAAUUCAUGAGAUCCCACCUAAGCAAUUGGGGUGACUCGGUGAUUGACAUUCAGCAAAAAACUAAAGAGGUUUGUCCAAACUCCUGUGAAAGACAGAUUUGCCUCUAAACUCAUUCUUCCCCUGUUCUAAUCUGCAUCUCUGCUGAAUAACUUUUUUCCAGAUGGCAUUUGUAUCAUCCUUAAAGCAGAUUGCAGGCAUUGAAUCUGGAACCAUAGCUCAAGAAUUUAUGCCCGAAUUUUUCAUGUUAGUAUUAGGAACUCUUUCUCUGCCUAUCAACCUUCCGCGCACUAAUUACCAUCGUGGACUUCAGGUAAAUGCGCUCUCAUCUUUUACUACUGGAAAGAAGGUUUAAAAUUGCUUGGUGUAACUAAUAAUUGAAAUGUACUGCAGGCAAGGAAAAACAUUGUCAGUCUGCUGAGAAAACUUAUAGAGGGGAGAAGAGCUUCUGGAAAGACGAGCUGUGAUAUGCUUGGCUUUCUUAUGAAUGAUGAAGUAAACAAGUACAAACUAACGGAUGAGCAGAUGAUUGAUCUGAUCAUAACCAUUUUGUACUCUGGCUACGAAACUGUUUCAACGACUUCAAUGAUGGCUGUCAAAUAUCUCCACGAUCACCCAAAAGUUCUUGAAGAAGUCAGAGUGAGUCUGUGUUUUUACUCGUUUACCAUGCUUAAAUAAAUCAGUACUAGUUAAUUCUUUUGCAUCUUAUUCUAACUUGAACUGGAAAUCCCUAUUACUGUAGAAGGAACAUAUGGCAAUUAGAGAGAGGAAAAGGCCGGAGGACCCUAUUGAUUUUGAUGACUACAAGUCAAUGCGCUUCACACGUGCAGUAAGUAUCCAAAAUGAUAGACGCAUGAGAAAGUUUAGGUGGAAGGAUGUUCAAGCUGUUGACACUUGGUUCUUAUUAGUAUUUUCCUGAUUCAGGUGAUCUAUGAGACCUCCAGAUUAGCUACUAUUGUGAAUGGAGUCUUGAGGAAAACUACUGAAGACAUGCAACUGAAUGGUGGGUUUAUUACCAUGAGCUGUAUAUUUAUUUGAUUAGCUUCAUAAUCUGCCUGCAGGGGGUGGGGGGCUAAAGUAGCAACUUUAUAUUUCCUUCUUCCUUUCGAUACUGAAAUGAAAAGAAAAAGGAGCGUAUAGACUAUAAUGCCUAAACGUACAAGGGAUGAUGCAUCAUGUAUGAGAUAUCAAAAGGACCCUACCCUAUCAUAAUCCACAUGCUGCACCUACCAUUCCAGCUGAGACAUUCCCUAUCUCUUGUCCAACUGAAUUAUUUUAAUCAAACUACUUUUGAUGAUAAAGAGAAGAUGCAACUCGAUUCUCUCUCAGACUCUCACUGGAUAGAGCAAAUAUGAUCUUCAUAAAAUAAUAUAUUCUUCAAGAGGAAUUUAAACAAGAAAAAAGCUUAAGGCCCCCCCAUCUGCAAUGAUUGUCGAAGCCUUGUUUUCCAGGCAGAAUUCUACUUUAAGAAUAUAUCGUUCUGCUUUCACUACAAGAAAGAAAUGCCAAUCACCUUACUUAUAUGUAUUUUGUUUACUUUUCAGGGUUCAUUAUUCCUAAAGGCUGGAGAAUAUAUGUCUACACUAGGGAGAUUAAUUAUGACCCGUGCCUCUAUCCUGAUCCGUUAAAAUUUAAUCCCUGGAGAUGGCUGGUUCGUAUUCAUAAUCAACUCUGUGUUUGUGCAAUAUUAGAGGGUGGAAUUAAUGUGUUUAUUGGAGGCUGGCUAACAAAACUCCUACCUACCUGAUAAAAAACAGGAUAAAAACCUGGAGAACAAAAAUUACUUCUUAAUAUUCGGAGGAGGAACAAGGCAGUGCCCCGGAAAGGAGCUUGGAAUUGCUGAAAUUUCUGCUUUUCUUCAUUAUUUCGUAACAACAUACAGGUGAACCAUUUUUUUUUUUUUUUUUUUGGGUAUUAUAUUAUGUCUCUAAUUCAUGGCAGCGUGUUAAAUUGUGUAUUGUGUCUGGCAUGAUGCAGAUGGGAAGAAGUUGGGGGAGAUGAGCUGAUGAAGUUCCCAAGAGUUGAAGCACCAAAUGGACUACACCUUAAGAUAUCAAGUCAUUGACAAACAACUUGAAUGUACAGGAGGCGUAAUGGUAAUGAUAUAAUUACAGUAGCAGCAUAUUAGAGUAACAUUUGAUGUACAAAUCACCGAUCUGUUAACACAGGACAAAUUGAAACCUGUUUUUUGGCCGGCUCUUGAGACGUUCUACAUGUGAGACAUGUCAAUUAUUUCUAGCAGACAGAAACUAAUCGAUUUCAUGUGGGCACCACGAAUUAUCCUUCCAAAAUUCCAUUCCUAAAGCCCCUUCUCACAAGCUUACAACAUAUCAUUUAAGCAAAAAGUUUAGUUGUUGAAUUUAGAAGCAUUUGUUCAAGAUACAGGAUGCAUUUGUUCAAGAUGCAGAUCAACAACACCAACAAACAAUCAUGCAUAAUAAUAAAAAUAUUAGUACCUUUGAACCACGCUGCAGGUAGCGGAGACUUGCAACGCCAAAUGAAUUUAAAUCCCCUCUGCCCCUUCUGGGCUCGUACCAAAUCAAUGAACAACUUAACUUGGAUCAAUUAAUUAUAAGAAAGAAUGACACAAUAAUACUUUGAUUGCCGCUCCCACACCCCGUGCAAGGUGCCAAUUGAAAUUUGAGCGCCAAAGCCAACAGCAGGUUUAUAGACUGGAAUCUCAAAACUACUCCAAUUUCCACACAUACCAACGGCAACAAAUUUUCUUUUUUUUUUUUGGGGGGUCGUAGGAGAUUUUUUUUUGGUCCCUAAAACUUCUUCCCGGGAAAGUGAAGACCCUCACUGUCCGUCUGUUCACGUUGCCACCAACUAAACUGAAUAUUGGACACACAGCCACUU